rnacentral:rRNA from 1 species
AACGAACGCUGGCGGCAGGCUUAACACAUGCAAGUCGAACGGGCACCUUCGGGUGUCAGUGGCAGACGGGUGAGUAACGCGUGGGAACGUACCUUUCGGUUCGGGAUAACCCAGGGAAACUUGGGCUAAUACCGGAUACGCCGGUAACGGGAAAGAUUUAUCGCCGAAAGAUCGGCCCGCGUCGGAUUAGCUAGUUGGUGAGGUAACGGCCCACCAAGGCGACGAUCCGUAGCUGGUCUGAGAGGAUGAUCAGCCACACUGGGACUGAGACACGGCCCAGACUCCUACGGGAGGCAGCAGUGGGGAAUAUUGGACAAUGGGCGAAGCCUGAUCCAGCCAUGCCGCGUGAGUGAAGAA